AGCAAGUCCCUUGAUUUCUGCAGAACAACCUCCCACUUCUGCUUUUCCUUCCAGCCCACAGGCUGCUAUAUUUAAUCUUGGAGCUGUCUACCUUUUUUGCAGACCAAUCAGGGAGUCAUGCUUCCCAGAAAUCAUGAGGUGGCAUUCAAAAUCAUGAAGGUUCUUGUAAAAGCAUGGUUUGAAUGCUCAGUCACUUGCUUACUGAGCAUCUACAGGUCACAGGGUCAAUUUGUAAGGUUUUAUCUGCUGGAAAGAAAGCAAAAUGGUGAAGUUCUGCAAACAAGAAUCCCAUUUUUAUCUUAUAGGCUCAUAAAAAUAACAUUUGUCCUCUGCAUGUCAAAUGCAUCAUUACAAAAAUCAGCUUAUCUGAUUAAAACCGGAGGAACGGUUUUAAGUUGAAAGAGGGAAGAUUUAGGCUGGAUGUUAGGGGGAAGUUCUUUACCAGGAGAGUGGUGAGGUGCUGGAACAGGCUGCCCAGAGAGGCUGUGGAUGCCCCGUCCAUCCCUGGAGGUGUUCAAGGCCAGGUUGGAUGGGGCCCUGGGCAACCUGGUCUGGUAAAUGGGGAUGUUGGUGGCCCUGCCUGGCAGGGGGGUUGGAAGUUCGUGAUCCUUGAGGUCCCUUCCAACCCAGGCCAUUCUGUGAUUCUGUGAGCAGCCCAGCUACUGCUCACUACCACCGCCACCACCACCACCACCGCAGCUACCGGCACCAUUCCCAGCAUCUACCAGACGAGGUCGCUCCGGAGCGAGAUACAGGAGAUUGUCCCCUUCCGCCUCCCCGUGGGUUUUCACGGAAGGAGAAAACAAACUAUUCCAAGCGUCUCAGCACGCAGUUUCUUUCUAUCGCUCCAGAACACAGCAGUAUGUGUUUUUUGACGGCCGUGCUUUCCCCCAGGAGCGUGAUAGAAUGUAUUUGUCACACCGGCUUCUGAUGGUGUGACCAGUAGAGGACAGGACAGUAUCUAGUUUGGGAAUUUGUAAUAUACAGCUCUUGGAGUAGUUUUGAGUGCUUCUGACUUUGUCAACUUUACUGCUGCUUUCCGUCACUGCAAUGAUGCAAGACAGCUGGAUGUGGUCCGUGUAUUUGCAAGCUUUCCGUUGGCACUCUGGUCAGAAGAGAAGUGACUGGCUCUGGGCUCUGCUGCCAUCACACCCAAAUAACUUGUCACUGGUACUUCUGGAGCUGCUAAUAGUCAUGAAGAGCUGGGGAAAAAAUCCUGUAGCUGAGUGAACCUGGCAGUGGUUUGGCUGUUCUGAGAUGCUCCGAGCGCUGUGCAGAGUUGAGUCCAUCAGAGAACUGGGAGUUGGUAUGGAGAAAGCCUAGCACCUGUUUGCUUGGAAAUGCUUAUGAAAAUCUCUUAUUUUAUAUAUAUGCAUACAUAAAAAAUAAUAUAUACGCAUACGUUUAAGGAGUUAUAUUUAUUCACUAUUCUGACAAGAAUCAACUGGGACCAACAGCUAUUGAGAGGUUUAAAUGCAAAGAGAGGUACCAGAUGUUAUCCAAAAGGCUUUCCUGUAACCGAGAGAAAGACUUGGCCGUAUACACUUAAAAAUAAUUAGAAGUACUGAACUAUAAAUGCCUAUUCUGAAACAUGCGCAUGGGUGUUGAUUUCAUAUAACCUGAAUUCUUUUGAGGGGCAAAUGCGUAUUGCUGCUGUUUAAUCUUGUUUAACUGCGUGUACUGGGAUAAAGCAAACCGCUUCGCGAUGAGGAAAAGC
ensembl:lncRNA